GGCUCGGAGGCUUAGUUGGUAGAGCACUCGUCUAGCAUACAAGAGUCCUGGGUUCGAAUCCUAGCCGAGCAC
rnacentral:tRNA from 1 species